rnacentral:rRNA from 1 species
GACGAACGCUGGCGGCGUGCCUAACACAUGCAAGUCGAGCGAGUGAAUCUCCUUCGGGAGUGAAGCUAGCGGCGGACGGGUGAGUAACACGUGGUCAACCUGCCUCAUAGAGGGGAAUAGCCUUUCGAAAGGAAGAUUAAUACCGCAUAAGAUUGUAGCUUCGAAUGAAGUAGCAAUUGAAGGAGCAAUCCGCUAUGAGAUGGGCCCGCGGCGCAUUAGCUAGCUGGUGAGGUAACGGCUCACCAAGGCGACGAUGCGUAGCCGACCUGAGAGGGUGAUCGGCCACAUUGGGACUGAGACACGGCCCAGACUCCUACGGGAGGCAGCAGUGGGGAAUAUUGCACAAUGGGGGAAACCCUGAUGCAGCAACGCCGCGUGAGUGAUGACGGCCUUCGGGUUGUAAAGCUCUGUCUUCAGGGACGAUAAUGACGGUACCUGAGGAGGAAGCCACGGCUAACUACGUGCCAGCCGCCGCAGUAA